GAUGAACGCUAGCGGGAAGCCUAACACAUGCAAGCCGAGCGGUAUUUGUUCUUCGGAACAGAGAGAGCGGCGCACGGGUGCGGAACACGUGUGCAACCUGCCUUUAUCUGGGGGAUAGCCUUUCGAAAGGAAGAUUAAUACCCCAUAAUAUAUUGAGUGGCAUCAUUUGAUAUUGAAAACUCCGGUGGAUAGAGAUGGGCACGCGCAAGAUUAGAUAGUUGGUGAGGUAACGGCUCACCAAGUCAAUGAUCUUUAGGGGGCCUGAGAGGGUGAUCCCCCACACUGGUACUGAGACACGGACCAGACUCCUACGGGAGGCAGCAGUGAGGAAUAUUGGACAAUGGGUUAGCGCCUGAUCCAGCCAUCCCGCGUGAAGGACGACGGCCCUAUGGGUUGUAAACUUCUUUUGUAUAGGGAUAAACCUACUCUCGUGAGAGUAGCUGAAGGUACUAUACGAAUAAGCACCGGCUAACUCCGUG
rnacentral:rRNA from 1 species